AAGGAAUAUUGGUCAAUGGGCGCAAGCCUGAACCAGCCAUGCCGCGUGCAGGAAGACGGCCCUAUGGGUUGUAAACUGCUUUUGUCAGGGAAUAAACCCCCGCUCGUGAGCGGGGCUGAAGGUACCUGAAGAAUAAGCAUCGGCUAACUCCGUGCCAGCAGCCGCGGUAAUACGGAGGAUGCAAGCGUUAUCCGGAUUCAUUGGGUUUAAAGGGUGCGCAGGCGGAUUGGUAAGUCAGGGGUGAAAUCCCACAGCUCAACUGUGGAACUGCCUUUGAUACUGUCAGUCUAGAGUAUAGUUGAAGUGGGCGGAAUGUGUCAUGUAGCGGUGAAAUGCUUAGAUAUGGCACAGAACACCGAUCGCGAAGGCAGCUCGCUAAGCUAUAACUGACGCUCAUGCACGAAAGCGUGGGGAUCAAACAG
rnacentral:rRNA from 1 species